GGAGAGGUGGCAGAGUGGUCGAAUGUACCUGACUCGAAAUCAGGCGUACCAGCAAUGGUACCGUGGGUUCGAAUCCCACCCUCUCCGCCA
rnacentral:tRNA from 1 species